AUUUCUCUUUACUGCAUGGAGGCCAAACAAAUUGCUCGCAAAAUCGCCACUCAGUCCGACUACAUUAGGCUCCGUCCAUCAAGCAGAGAUUCAAAUCCGAGUCCCACAGAUGUGCAGUGUUGUAUGAUGUAUGUUGUAAGUCCCAUAGGUACACAGCUUAUGUAAGCUACACAAAUGUUGGUUUAAGCAAAAUCACUUCUAUCAUCAGUUUAAGGACAACAACACAAGGUGGUAGAACCGAUGGAUAAUGCUACACGUAAGCCGAUUACAUGCUUUUUUUAGUUUGACCUGCUUGAACCGAUCUACCCGAAUCUUAAACUGGCCAGUUAGUUUAUUCAGGUCGCUGAUUUUUAAAGCCAACUUACUUAGUUCUCUUGAUCCAGUCUUGACAUGUGCAAACUUUCAG
rnacentral:lncRNA from 1 species